UCUGAAAUUAAUAAAAUUGUUUUAAUUAAUAUUUUAAUGAGAAUUUAAAUUAAAUAAAAUGAGGUUAUUGUAUAAUUAAUUGAUAAAAUUGUUUUUACUAUAGUAAAUUAGUACUGUGAAGGAAAUGUUAAAUUAUAUUUUAUAAUAUAAUAAAGGUAAUUUUAUUAAUUGUAUCUUGUGUAUCAGAGUAUAUUAAAAUGAAUUAUAAAUUAUUUUUUUCUCGAAUUUAAAAGAUUUAAUUGAGUAUAUUAGUUAUUGUAUUAUAAAUAUUAAAAAUGCUUAAUUGGUAAUGAAAUGUUAAUCGUUUUUAAGGGUAUCUAGUUAUUUAAUAAAUAAGUUUAAUUUAGGGUAAUUAAGUUACUUAAAUAUUUUAUUAUUUAAAUAUUUUAAUUACUUAAUUUUGGGAGGGAUAAGCUUUUCAAAAUAUGAUUAUAAUAGGAUUAUUUAUAUAGAAUUUUAUGAAUUUAGAAUUUGUUAAUAAUUAAAGGAUGUUAAAAUUUAAUUCUUGUUUUUAAAAAAAGAUUUAAAUUUUAUUUAGUAUAUUUAUUAAAAUAUUAAAUUGAAUUUUAAAUUUUUAGAAAAAAUGAUUUAAUUAGUAAAAUAAAUUGUAUAAUAUUAUUAAAUUGUAAUGUUAAUAUGAAGAAUUAGGCAAAUAUUUUACUCGCCUGUUUAUUAAAAACAUGGUUUCUUGAUUUUAUUUAAGAGAUCUGACCUGCCCACUGAAUACAUUUUGAAGGGCCGCAGUAUUUUGACUGUGCAAAGGUAGCAUAAUCAUUAGUCUUUUAAUUGAGGGCUGGUAUGAAUGGUUGGACGAAGUAAAAACUGUUUUAUAUUAAAUAAAUUUGAAUUUAGAUUUUGAGUAAAAAUACUUAAAUGUUAUUAAGGGACGAGAAGACCCUAUAGAGUUUAAUAAUUGUAGUAUUUAAUUGAGUUAAUAAUUAAUUUUUGAUUAAUAUUAAAUUUAUUUAAUUGGGGUGAUUAGAAGAUAAGAUUAACUCUUCUUUAGUAUUAAUAUUAUAAAUAAUUAUAUGAUCCAUAUUUUAUGAUUAAAAGAUUAAAUUACCUUAGGGAUAACAGCAUAAUUCUUUUUAAGAGUUCAUAUCGAAAAAAGAGAUUGUGACCUCGAUGUUGGAUUAAGAUUAGUUUUGGGUGUAGAUGUUCAAUAACUAGGUCUGUUCGACCUUGAAAAUCUUACAUGAUCUGAGUUUAAACCGGCGUGAGCCAGGUUGGUUUCUAUCUUUAAUUUUUUUUAAAUAUCUUAGUACGAGAGGACCAGAAUAUUUAAAAUAAUUUUUUUUAAUUGAAUACUAUUAAUUAA
rnacentral:rRNA from 1 species